GGGCCUGUAGCUCAGUUGGUUAGAGCACACGCCUGAUAAGCGUGAGGUCGGUGGUUCGAGUCCACCCGGGCCCACCA
rnacentral:tRNA from 1 species